GCUUACGGCCAUACCAGCCGAAGAACGCCCCGGUCUCGUCUGAUCUCGGAAGCUAAGAAGGCUUGGGCCUGGUUAGUACUCGGAUGGGAGACUGCCUGAGAAUACCAGGUGCUGUAAGCU
rnacentral:rRNA from 1 species